GUUAGCAAGCAGAGUGACGAUUUGUUAGUGAGGCGCAAGCACGAGGUCAACCACUAGUGUAAGCUCAAUUUUCCAUUUCUUGCUACUUUUAGCAAAUCUGUUUUCCCAAGUUGCUCUGCCUCACUUCCAAAUGUAGUAAACCGUCACAGUACCAAAAUUUGGCUUCGGACCUUCGGAGUCCAAGGAAAAGAAAAAGGCGAAAACUGAACUACAGCGACCUCGGCUCUAUGCUCUAAUAGCUCCAGAGCGGCACAUCGGCCACGGCCUCGUCGCAGAACGCCGCGACUGUGCACGGUGGUUCCAUGAGCAUCGCCUGCGCCAAGCUCGCGUAGUACAAGUCUGAGCUCAUGUCACCGAACGCGUCCAGCUCGAACGGCGAGUCGUCGGUGGCCGGCGAGGUCUCCUCGCUGUCGGUGCAGCUGCAUUCGUCAUUCGCGACGGAGGACGGCGUCGACGACGUGGCCGAGCGCGCGUCCUCCUCCUCAGGGAGCACCUUGCGGCGCUGGAAGUCCUCCACGGCCUCGGCGACAGCGUGGCGGAUCUCGGCGAGGCUGGCGUACGAGGCCGGGACCGCGAGCAGCCACGCCGAGUCCGCGAAGUUGAGGCAGGCGCCCGCGCCGGCGAUGGCGAGCAUGGCGGCAUCGUGCGCGCGCGCCGCGGCCUCGGCGGUGUCGAAUGUGCCGAGCCAGAGCCUGCAGCCGCGGCGACCGGGCACGCGCACCUCGCACACCCACCGCCCGGCGUUGCCUCGGCGCCGGACGCCGCGGAACACGGGGUGCCGCGUCUCCCGGAACUUGGUCCGCCCCGCCGGCCGCUUCGGCGGCGACGUCCACACCGUCUGGUGGUGCUCCGAGGAGGUCGAGGCCGAAGCCCAGCUGCACGCGGAGCCUGACGACUCGGCGCUCAUCUCCUUCUUGAUCUGACACAUCUUGUUCUGAAUCGGCUGCCGAACGAUUGCUUAGCUCUGGAGUAGUGAGUGGAGUGCCUUCGCUGCUGCUUGAAUUGUGUUGGAGUGGUUUUGCGAUGGGGAAUGGCGGAUUUGCGGGCACAUAUUUAUAGGUGGUGGGCGGCGAUGCAGGGGAUAAAACGCGGGAAGGGAACCCAGUGGGCGAGCGCACAGCUGGAGAUGGAGAAGGAAAGAUCACAAAGGGGGGACGCAUCUGGGUAAGGCCGAGGACGCAACUUGCAAGCAGCAUGUAACAUCGGGGACUUCACUUUGAGAGUGACCUGAUAUUUUCGCAGAUAGGAACUCCAGCAAUACCCUCGAAUCAAAGCAC
rnacentral:lncRNA from 1 species